UUACCGUGUUGAUAGAUAUUGUGUGCGUUUAUUGUGUGCUUAUCGUACUUGACAUUCGUCGACUGGAUAUUUUGCGCGUUUCGGAACGUCCUCCCGCAAGUGGGGGAUGAUGCAUCGUCGUUCGUCGCCACUCAGAACAGCCUCAUCGGACGCGCAGCUUUGUCUCCGCGCUCAAAAGUGCUUUCUUGCUUCGUUUAUCGAUUACUCACGUUAAUCGCGUGAUUCAAUAUCGAGUGUACCUCCAAAGACAAUCCACUUCCCAGUGUUGUGACAAGCGGCGACCGCGGUUGUACAGGAGCGGAAGCGUGAGCCUUUUGACGAGCGACUGUGAAGAAUGCAAAGCCAGUGCCAAACUUCGGAACCGAUAGCCCGGGCGGCGUGUUGGCACAGCGAGGAUGAGAACGAGAGACCCGAUAGACACCGAUGACAGCUGUUCACGGCACCGACACAGAGGACAGAUUGCAGUGCAAGAUAGGAGCGGUCUUCCUGCAAGCCCAGACAAGCCAUAUUGAGUGGUUUCAAAUACAGCAACUGCACCACCACGACAGUGCAGCACAAGAGACCCUAUCAUCAGUGCUGAGUCAGAAAUUAAAUAGAAAAGCGCUUUCUUCUGAAAUCUUUCGCCUGGUCUUAUUUCGUUUGUUUGUGAUUGCAAAAGAGCUCUUUCGUAGGAAAUACAAAAUUUAACUAACUAGCCCCAUUUAUUGUCCUAUAGAAACUAAAUAGGUUGACAAUUUAGCGCUCGUUUACA